CACCCCUAAAAGCAACCCUUCUGAACACCAUAAGCACUUCAGAAAGGCUGUCGCUUUCCCUUUUCGGAAAUUAGAGCUAUGUCGACACUGCCGUUUCAGGGCGGGGUCAUUUUCAGGACUUUCGUCCCAGAUUCAGGUUUUCGCACAUAUGCCAUGUUGACCGCCAUGGUCAUUUUACCCUAAAACAGUCGAGAUUACCUGUCCUAAAUGAAUCGCAUACAAACUCAUAUACUGGUCCUAGACUAAAUGUUUUCGCAGAAUGUGUGCAUUUUGUCUUUUCGGAUCAAGAAUAAGGGAAUAUUGUAGAGAAUUUUUUUAGCUUCAAUUUAAGCCUAAGUUAAUUUGUUUGCGUAGUAUGUUGGCGGCUAAAAUGUUCGUUGUCCAGACAAGAAAUUAUAUACGAAAAUGCGUAAAUUCUUCAGUACUUUUUUACCGAAAUGGCAUGUGAUAACCUCUCUCACUGCUUUUAAGACAGGUUUAGAAGCCUUCUUAUUAAUAAAUAAUCGAUCUGACUCCCACACGGCAAUCAGGUAGAAC